rnacentral:rRNA from 1 species
AGCAGCCGCGGUAAUUCCAGCUCCAAUAGCGUAUAUUAAAGUUGUUGCAGUUAAAAAGCUCGUAGUUGAAUUUCGGGAGCCGCGGGUCGGUUGGGCUUAACUGUCCAUCACUGGCUCCGCGGGUCUCUUACCUUCUGGCGAGGUCAGAUGUCAUUUAUUUGGUGUCUGGCGGAACCAGGACCAUUACCUUGAAAAAUUAGAGUGUUUAAAGCAGGCUUUAUCGUCUGAAUACAUUAGCAUGGAAUAAUAAAAUAGGACGGCUAAAGGUUCUAUUUUGUUGGUUCUAGGACCAUCGUAAUGAUUAAUAGGGAUAGUUGGGGGCAUUAGUAUUCAAUUGUCAGAGGUGAAAUUCUUGGAUUUAUUGAAGACUAAACUACUGCGAAAGCAUUUGCCGAGGAUGUUUUCAUUAAUCAAGAACGAAAGUUAGGGGAUCGAAGACGAUCAGAUACCGUCGUAGUCUUAACCAUAAACUAUACGCCGACUAGGUUUCGGGCGAGUGUUAAAUUAUUUACGACUCG